AGCUUUGCGCAGUAGCGAUAUCGUAACCAAUGAGGUUUCACCGAGAUGCGAUUAUUGCUAGUAAUAAAAAAGCAUGAUGUUUUUACUAAUGGAUGGGGCUAUAAAUAUAAGUAUCAAAUUUUUAGCUUGGACAAAC